GAUGAACGCUGACAGAAUGCUUAACACAUGCAAGUCUUUGGCGAAGCUGUGCUUGCACCGCCUAGCCAAGGCGGACGGGUGAGUAACGCGUAAGGAACUUGCCCUGCAGUCAGGGAUAACAGACGGAAACGACUGAUAAGACCUGGUAAAGUCAGGCGGACUCAUGUCCAGCCUGAUGAAAAGAGAUGCUGCAGGAGAGCCUUGCGUCCUAUUAGCUUGUUGGUGGGGUAACGGCCCACCAAGGCGAUGAGAGGGAGCCGGCCUGAGAGGGUGGACGGCCACAAGGGGAAUGAGAUACGGCCCUUACUCCUACGGGAGGCAGCAGUGGGGAAUAUUGGACAAGGGGGGCAACCCUGAUGCAGCAAUUCUGUGUGCACGAUGAAGGUUUUCGGAUUGUAAAGUGCUUUCAGCAGGGAAGAAAAAAAUGACGGUACCUGCAGAAGAAGCGACGGCUAAAUACGUG
rnacentral:rRNA from 1 species